GACGAACGCUGGCGGCGUGCUUAACACAUGCAAGUCGAACGGAAAGGCCCUGCUUUUGUGGGGUGCUCGCGUGGCGAACGGGUGAGUAACACGUGAGUAACCUUCCCUUUACUUUGGGAUAACUUCAGGAAACUGGGGCUACUACCUGCUAGGAGCUCCUGCUGCAUGGCGGGGUUUGGACCGUUUCGGCGGAUGGGGGUGGAUUGGCGGCUUAUCAGCUGGUUGGGUGGGUAGUGGCUUACCAAGGCUUUGGAGGGUAGCCGGCAUGAGAGGUUGGUCGGCGACAUGGGGACUGAGAUACGGACCAGACUGCUACGGUGGGCAGCAGGGGGGAAUAUUGCACAAUGGGCGGAAGCCUGAGGAAGAAACGUCGGGAGCGGGAUGAAGGCCUUCGGGGGGGAAACCGCUUUCGCCUGUGACGAAGCGUGAGUGACGGUAAUGGGUAAAGAGGCACCGGCUAACUACGUG
rnacentral:rRNA from 1 species